rnacentral:misc_RNA from 1 species
UACAUCUACAUCACUAUGGCCACCAAAACAUUUCUUUCGGUAGUAAUACUUGCCGUUGUGCUUGCAAGUGCAGUAUCGACUGAAGAGGAAGCUUUCGACUUCACGAACAUCGACAUAGCAAAGUUUCUGAAUACAAGCAAGGUAGUAUGGGUUUACAAUACGACAGAGCCGGGAACAGUGACAUGCAGAAUGGACAACCACACUAAAGUGGAGGAAAAUUCAACUAUAUUUAGCAGACAGUUCGUCAACAACAGCAAGAAAACCAUAAACAAGCGGCUAGGCAUGUUUUUUGUCUACGAGAGUCAAUAUCCGCCAAAUAAUUCCAAGUACGAUGCAAUGAGAAUAUAUGACUACCGAAGGAAAGACGGAUUACGGUGAAGAGAUACUCGAGUUCCAGAGCGAAGACAGCACGUGCGCUGUGGUUUCAGUCCACGACUACAGUAAUGGAGAAUCCACUGUCUGGCAUGAUCUUCGUAUGAGCGACUCUACCAUAGACAGCCAGCCGCCGCAAGAUUGCGCCAAAAGAUUUGAUUAUAUUCUGCGCCAAACGAAGAAGAAACCAUGGAGACAAGUAUAUAAUUCUUCCUGUCGGAAUAUGCACACCAUGUCUUCCUAAAGCCAGAUAUCAACAUGUACAAGCGAUAUGCAGCCGUGCGCCGCCUACAAGAUCUCCAUGACUCCUUAGGGGUUCACAUUUACUAUUUCUAUGGGAAUAGUGUUCCGAUAUCAUAAAAUAUAUAUUGCAAUAAUCUCACUUGAUUAUGAAAUAUGGAAUGAAAAUAGCUAUACCUUUAUAACCUAUUCAAAAGACACUUCCAUUUAUUUCUGUUUGAUGAGACCUGUUUGCAGUAUUGAUGUGUCUGAUUGCGGUGCAAAUAAAGGGCAUUGAU